GACAGAGGGGGCUAGCGUUGUUCGGAAUCACUGGGCGUAAAGGGCGCGUAGGCGGCCGUGUAAGUCAGAGGUGAAAGCCUGGAGCUCAACUCCAGAAUUGCCUUUGAUACUGCUCGGCUAGAGUUCGAAAGAGGGUGGUGGAAUUCCUAGUGUAGAGGUGAAAUUCGUAGAUAUUAGGAGGAACACCGAUGGCGAAGGCAGCCACCUGGUUCGAUACUGACGCUGAGGCGCGAAAGCGUGGGGAGCAAAC
rnacentral:rRNA from 1 species